CAGCCGCCACGGUAAUACGUAGGGCGCAAGCGUUGUCCGGAAUUAUUGGGCGUAAAGAGCUCGUAGGCGGUCUGUCGCGUCUGGUGUGAAAUCCCGAGGCUCAACCUCGGGCUUGCAUCGGGUACGGGCAGACUAGAGUGCGGUAGGGGAGACUGGAAUUCCUGGUGUAGCGGUGGAAUGCGCAGAUAUCAGGAGGAACACCGAUGGCGAAGGCAGGUCUCUGGGCCGCAACUGACGCUGAGGAGCGAAAGCAUGGGGAGCGAACAGGAUUAGAUACCCCUGUAGUCCCUGUCUCUUAUAA
rnacentral:rRNA from 1 species